UGCUACCAGUGAACUGAUCACUCAUUUUUUAGACGCCUUUAACGGUACAGUCAGUGCGACACUUACAGCAUUCAAUUUUUACAUUAUGACAACGUUUUCUUGACAUGUGACGUGAAAGUCUGUCCAUCUACGUCAGUUAGUUGUGAUACAACAUGCAGCAGAGCAAAAAGGAGCGCCAGACAGACUGGAACAACCAAUGAAAAAGACGCUGAUGAGACACGUAUGACCACCGUCCGAAAUGUGCUAAAGGUUAUUGACCCAUACUCCGAUGCAUGUAUUCGAGUUUCUCGAGUGAGUACGAGCCUGGUACUAGCCUUGACAUUCAGAUACUUUUACUUUUAAUGACGCAGUGAGGGUUCUUAUUUUGAUAACGCAGGGAAGUCCGACACAUGGACAAAAUAAUGAUAAUUGUAUUUUUGUUUGUUUCUUUUUAUUAGUUCCCUACUAACUGAUAACCAGUUUCGGGGACUAUAGAAAUGCUCUUUUCCGUCAUUCUGUUAUUACAACCGUCCUUCCGUCCGUCCGCAACUUCGUGUCCGGUCCAUAACUGUCAUACAUGAAGGGAUUUUAUUAUUACUUGGCACAAAUGUACCUCAUAAUAAGACGAUGUGUCGUGCACAACUUUUAGACCCCUAGCUCAAAGGUCAAGGUCACACUUAGCAGUCAAAUGUUAUUAUGGCAUGAACCGGCUCUGUUUUGUGACCGGUCCAUAACUCUGUCAUUCAUUUAGAGAUUUUAAUAUCACUUGGCACACAUUUUUCCACAAGACGUGUCAUGUGCAAAAUCCGGACCCCUGACUC